rnacentral:lncRNA from 1 species
CCUUCUUCUUGUAAUUGUCCUCCCUAUAGGAAAAAUCACUAUAAGCCAACCCCUGGGUUGCUGGUAUGAAUUGUCGUGAUCUAUACUGUCUUGACACGAGUAGAGGAGCAUAUCCAAUAGCCCCCCAUAUUCCGAGCAACGGAACCCAGUCAAAAUCUCCACAUCGGUACAAUAUCUCAUCAGGAAUUAACCAAGGAGCCCUCCAUUCAAUAUCUUCAUCUUGGAGAUUCUGGAGUAUCUCUAUCCAUUUUUCUUCUGAAAUAUCAUCCCGUCUUGGCGUGGCCACCAAUUCUCCUAGAGGGGAGUAGCUAUCGGAGAAUACCCGGUAAGAGACCUUUUCGACUUUCCAGAAGUGGCUAUGGAACCAUGCCAAUAAGAGCUGCGCGCAUCCAAUAAACCUUCCCUCCCCU